rnacentral:rRNA from 1 species
UACGUAGGGUGCGAGCGUUAAUCGGAAUUACUGGGCGUAAAGCGUGCGCAGGCGGUUGUGUAAGACAGAUGUGAAAUCCCCGGGCUAACCUGGGAACUGCAUUUGUGACUGCACGGCUUGAGUGCGGCAGAGGGGGAUGGAAUUCCGCGUGUAGCAGUGAAAUGCGUAGAUAUGCGGAGGAACACCGAUGGCGAAGGCAAUCCUCUGGGCCUGCACUGACGCUCAUGCACGAAAGCGUGGGGAGCAAACAGG